UAUAGAGGUGGCAAGCGUUGUUCGGAAUUACUGGGCGUAAAGGGCGCGUAGGCGGCCAUCUAAGUCAGACGUGAAAUCCCCCGGCUUAACCUGGGAACUGCGUCUGAUACUGGACGGCUUGAGUAUGGGAGAGGGAUGUAGAAUUCCAGGUGUAGCGGUGAAAUGCGUAGAUAUCUGGAGGAACACCCGUGGCGAAGGCGGUUCUCUGGGACGGUACUGACGCUGAGACGCGAAAGCGUGGGGAGCGAACAGG
rnacentral:rRNA from 1 species